rnacentral:rRNA from 1 species
GGAGGAAAGCAGGGGAUCGAAAGACCUUGUGCUUUUAGAGCGGCCGAUGCCUGAUUAGCUAGUUGGUAAGGUAAAGGCUUACCAAGGCAACGAUCAGUAGCUGGUCUGAGAGGACGACCAGCCACACUGGGACUAAGACACGGCCAGACUCCUACGGGAGGCAGCAGUGGGGAAUUUUGGACAAUGGGCGCAAGCCUGAUCCAGCCAUGCCGCGUGAGUGAAGAAGGCCUUCGGGUUGUAAAGCUCUUUCGGUCGGGAAGAAAUAGUUAUGGCUAAUAUCCAUAACGAAUGACGGUACCGACAUAAGAAGCACCGGCUAACUACGUGCCAGCAGCCGCGGUAGGACGUAGGGUGCAAGCGUUAAUCGGAAUUAUUGGGCGUAAAGGGUGCGCAGGCGGAUGUAUAAGUCAGAUGAGGAAUCCCUGGGCUUAACCUGGGAAUUGCGUUUGUAAUACGAAGCUAGAAGGGC